AAGCUACUACCCUUCCAAAGCUAUGAUUCUCAAGAUAACUAUUACCAUCCCAGCAGGAUGGGCAGUCCAGGGGCCAACUGGUCCCACUGCUGGAGCAGAUCACACAGGACGGCCAGGGCCAGGGCCAGAGCGAUGGAGGCAUCCACCUGGCAGAAGGCAAACUCUGCAAAGACAGGAGAAAGUGUCACCAGAAGGAUCAGGAAGGCUUCCCUGUCCAGUGUCUCCUCUGCACAUCUGCCUGGAUUUGACUGGUUUGCCCUUUCCUUGGAAAGCAGAUCUCUUGGGCACAAGACACAUCCUAGAGCAGGGCAUCGGCAAGCUUUUCCUUAAAGGGCCAGAGAGUCAAUAUUUUAGACUUUGCAAGCCUAUACCUCCUCACCUCGGCUGAAAGCAGCCAU
ensembl:lncRNA novel transcript